UCAGAUAAAAACCAUCAAUACCUGAGGUUGUAUCUGGUUCUGGGACGGUGGACACAUCCUUCCGGGGUUCAGCUGUUGUUUCCUGGGGUUCAGCUGUUGUUUCCUGGGGUUCAGCUGUUGUUUCCUGGGGUUCAGCUGUUGUUUCCUGGGGUUCCGCUGUUGUUUUCUGGGGUUCAGUUGUUGUUUCCUGGAGUUUGGGUGUUUCCUGGGGUUCGGGUGUUCUUUCCUGGGAUUCGGAUGUUGUUUCCUGGGGUUCAGCUGCUGUUUGCUGGGGUUCAUGUGUUGUUUCCUGGGGUUCGUGUGUUGUUUCCUGGGGUUCGGCUGCUGUUUCCUGGGGUUCGGCUGUUGUUUCCUGGGGUUCAGCUGUUGUUUCCUGGGGUUCAGCUGUUGUUUCCUGGGGUUCAGCUGUUGUUUC